rnacentral:rRNA from 1 species
CCUACGGGGGGCAGCAGUGGGGAAUAUUGGGCAAUGGGCGAAACCCUGACCCAGCAACGCCGCGUGAAGGAAGAAGGCUUUCGGGUUGUAAACUUCUUUUGACAGGGAAGAGCAGAAGACGGUACCUGUCGAAUAAGCCACGGCUAACGACGUGCCAGCCGCCGCGGUAAUACGGAGGUGGGAAGCGUUGUGCGGAUUUACUGGGGGUAAAGGGCGUGUAGCCGGGCUGACAAGUCAGUUGUGAAAACCGGGGGCUCAACCCCCGAACUGCCUUUGAAACUGUUGGUCUUGAGUAUCGGAGAGGCAGGCGGAAGUCCUAGUGUAGCGGUGAAAUGCGUAGAGAUUAGGAGGAACACCAGUGGCGAAGGCGGCCUGCUGGACGACAACUGACGGUGAGGCGCGAAAGCGUGGGGAGCAAACAGGAUUAGAUACCCGAGUAGUC